rnacentral:rRNA from 1 species
UGAGGAAUAUUGCGCAAUGGGGGCAACCCUGACGCAGCAACGCCGCGUGUGGGAAGAAGGCUUUCGGGUUGUAAACCACUUUUGCCCGGGACGAAAGGGGGGGCCUGAAUAAGGUCACCCGAUGACGGUACCGGGAGAAUAAGCCACGGCUAACUCUGUGCCAGCAGCCGCGGUAAGACAGAGGUGGCAAGCGUUGUUCGGAGUUACUGGGCGUAAAGAGUCUGUAGGUGGUCUGUCAAGUCUUUGGUGAAAGGCCGUGGCUUAACCAUGGGAAUGCCAAAGAGACUGGCAGACUGGAGGCUGGGAGAGGGAAGCGGAAUUUCUGGUGUAGCGGUGAAAUGCGUAGAUAUCAGAAGGAAGGCCGGUGGCGAAGGCGGCUUCCUGGAACAGACCUGACACUGAGAGACGAAAGCGUGGGGAGCAAACAGG